AAUUAUCAUGUGCUUCCAAACUAUGCAUUGAUUUAUGCAAGACUUUAUUGCACUACGGAGCAUAUUACUUGAGAAAAUCAUAAACACAAAAUUAGGUACCAGAUGAGCGCUGUGCCAUAACAGCGACUAUAAAAUAACAAUAAAAUAACCGAAGUAAAGCUCAAGCCAUGCUGAACGUCGUAAACUCUACACGCCGAACGAUUAAUACCAUAUGCCACUGAACAGAGCUACGUGAUGUAUUCCUGACAAUGAAAUCAAUUUGCAACAUUAGCAACAAGGUCGAAGGUGUGAUUGCAUGACACAUUCGCAUUAUAUGACAACUUCCCUUUUUUCUGUAGCCCGCCAAACCUGCCAUCUCGCCAGCGCAUCAUCAAUUAACACCAAUGCUUCACACCAAAUGCAGGCGUUAUUUAUUGCCAAACACUGCGCCUGCCGGGUGGAGAGAAGCGGUCGAUUAUCGCCCAAACGGCAGCCACCGAUCACUGCGGUGCAAGUGCAGCAGUCGCGCGUCAUGCCGGAUCAGACCCGGGCAGGAACCCAUAAACUGCCGUAAUAACUUAAUAAAGCCAUCAAAUCGAUUGCAAUUAUCGGCUGACAGUUUCUCAUCAAACUUUUACAGCUCGCACCCCUUUCAAAACGAUCCUCUAACGCACGCAUUCAAUCGACGACCCCAUCGCACCACGUGGGGUUGCCGUGUCGGGAAGCGGUUGUGUUGAAUGAAAACUGCUCACAAAGCUAACCAUUCCCGCGAUGACAGUGGCUGCGAUGCUGGUCCGACGAAUCGGUGGAGGAAGGGGGGAGAGGGGGAGAAAAGUGCCCAAGAACCCACCGAAGGGAGUUUGGAAAAUUAAUAGCUCCAUCAUAAAUAACUCAAUAGGCAGCAACGCACCAACAGACGAGACGAGAUCGACAGCUGGCGGUAACGUCGACCUGCACCCGAGAUGCAUCUUGUUGGGAACGGGAAAAGAAUCGUACCACCGCACGAUCAUGAUCGGUAAUGCAAUGCAAUGUGGGAAAAUGCAAUUAGUUUUAUAUUUGCUGCGGGGACUGUGCUCUGUGCGACCGUCACUUACGGCGCUGCCGCAUUCGAUCUCCAGCGCUGGACGCAUUGCACAUUGGAAACCGUCGGUGGUCGAUGCAACCAGUUUGCUACUUCAUUCAUAAAUAAUUGAAAAGCAACACGGACAGUGUUGUCGCGCACUGCAGCAAAAAAGCACUUACCUUAUGAUGGUGAUGGGAAAAGCUUUAGGUUGCCGGUGUGUAAGUGUAGCUGCAAUGCUAAAGAAUACACAAUGUUUGAGUUUUAAUUAAUUUUCCAUUUUUGCCCCGCAGUAGCUGUGGACACCGUUGCGUACGACAUGAUUUUAUAGUUCCAAUCAGUAUACAUUUUGCAUGUUUAUGUACCAAAAUUAAAACACAACACGUUCAAAGUUGAAUAUACAAAUUGAAGCCUAAUAAAAAAAAACCACACCGUCUUGGUGAAAUAUUUGCAUGCAUAUUGAAAGUGUAUCUGCUUGACAGUUGUACAGGAAUUGAAUUUCUUAAUCAAAUAUCCAUAAGAGCUCGCCAGACCGGGUGACUCAAUACGAUCAGCAACCUGUCAAAGGUAACUGGCGCAAAUGAAACAUGCGUAAGCAUGCGGCGGCGCGUUGAAGGCACCCCAAUCCGAAUAUGGUCAACUUGCUAGAGGAUUCCACUUCCACGAGAACCCAUCACCAUCUUCACCAGUUGCUUUUCCCUCGACUAAAAAACAACUCCAUUCCUAUCCUCCGCCGUUGGACAAAUGGACGAAACCGUGAGAAAGCAUAAAAUUGCGCCAAAUAAUGUUACAACCGGAUCACCCGCUGGGCCGUCGCAAUCGCCAUAGCACUAUGGUCCAUUCCUUGCCAGCGGUCCGGUUCGGUACGGCUAAGCUAAUGCACUAGCGCACAAUUCCGGACCAGCAGCGCACUUCAGGUUGCAAGCCUGCGCCUCAUUUGACCAAAUUUGGCUCCAGCUACCUUUUUGCCACAUCCAUGAACCGCAUAAUCAAGUGAUUUGACACGUUCGGCCACAAACGCGAACGGUAAGCGCUCAUUACGCGCUGGCGCGGGUGUUGUAACGACCUUCAGGCAAAAGCAUCUCAAUGCUAGCGCGCAGUUUGAAGGCGCCCAAUAUUUCUCAUUACACCAUAAACAGAAUAUUUCGCUUUUUAAAUAUGCACUCUCUAUGCUUUCCUCCCUUAACGUUUGUCAUAAUUAGCAUGCACAAAAAAACAUGUCAUACCACAUAAAGGCGACUAAUUAGACACUCCUCCGGACAACGGUCGCUGAACUAAUUAUUUACCAUCCGCGAGGGAAUCGUAAAUAAAUCGCAACCAAAUAUUCAACCGCGUAGGCCGACAAAUGACGCCCUCGUCAGCCAGCAAAUACUAUGGCAAGAUUUGUGUAAGAAAAAUCGAACCGAAAAACCGUCCUACCCAUCCAAUCAAUUCUGAGCCACUUCCGAGACCAGGGUGUCUCCGCCAGGAAUGACCAUAAUUAAGAAGUCGUUAAGCCAUACUUUUUAAUUCCUACCACAUCCCACACCAGCUCGGGUGGGAAUGCAAUCGACCAAAUUGAAAAGCAAACAAACAAAAUGCAACGCUUCUCGUGUGAUCUACCGGAAAGCGGCUGAUCGUUUGGGGCAGCGAGCAGACCCCCACUCACACAGACACAUAAAAAAGAAUUAAUUUGGAGCAUUUUUGCGUUGCUGGUUGGCUCACCAAACCAACGACCCCAUGAAAUGCACCUAAUUCCCCCCGAGGGUCAGGGCCAGAGCGUCUGGUUGCAAAAGCGUCUGGCGUGGUCGCGGUUUACUCGCGAGUGUUAAUUGCUAACGCUUGCUUGUCCCGUGAUCGAACGCGAUCGGCGUUGCCCUCGGGGCACAAACGUUGCUACGAAGCGAUAUCACAGACCUUCGCAAGCACAUAAAUAUUCGGUUGAAAAUUUCACGCUUGUCCUCUGUCGGUGGGUGUGGAACCUACGUAAGAUGCACAUUAAUUUGGGGCGUGCAGCUGAAAGGUGUCCUGAUGACCACGAAAUUCAACUGAGCCUGUCUACGCCCCAAACUCGCCUCGUUUGGGUCAUUAUUUUUUAUGAGCUUCGUUUUUAGUUGCUUGUGUUAAAUGGGUUAAAUGAUCGACAAAAGUGUCUUCAUAGUACAGUUCAUAACAUUACAGUGAUGCAAUUAUAUGUACAUAGUAAAUACACAACAUGCUUUCAAUAACUUGCCUUUGUAUUGGAGUUCGGAAAGACAACAAAAGGAGGUGAAAAAAGUUGAAUCACAAAAUUUAAAUAAAUUGUAUCACACAUGUAGAUUGGUAUCAUUUAUUUCUGUUUUCUCGAUUUUCAAAUCUCAAUCUUUGGCACCUUGAGCACCAACCGCGAGCAAAAUGCAUAAUACAUCGAUAGAGCGAAUGUCGAUAUCUUCCAAGAAGUCUCACCCACCAUCGAGAACCUUGAUGUUCUUGUUUUUAAACCAUCGAGCAACGUUUGUUUUCGUUUUCGUUUUUUAUUUAACAUAUACACAUUUUUCAAUUUAUCUUGUUCACUUUUCAUUCGACUCGAACUGGAUCUUCUUUUGCUCGAUGGACUAGAAACGAUCGAAAAGGAAUCAGGAAUGUAUUACAUGCUGUCGAAUUGAUGCAGCCUUUGUGUCAGAGCGCUACAACAUGAUCGUGGUAAAAUUCAAAACUGCACUUGCAUGUCGAUCGUAUGCGAUGAUUCUAACCUGCUGUGAGCAGUGGUGAUCACUACACACAAUUCGCGCCGAGUGCGUAAAUCAACGAUACUUGUCCAAUCUUGAUUCACAGAAAUGGAAUCUUUAUACUGGUUACUAGUUUGUUUGUUUUGUUUACUUCAAAGGCAUUCCAUUCGUGACAUGGUACGUCAUGUUCUGCUGUCGAAACGAGACAUGAAAUAUUAGUUUGUAGUCCAGCUAUUGUACUCUAGUGUCAAAAUUGCAAGAAAUAAAACAAAUUUCUAAAGAAUUGUAGAAUUAUGCAAAAACAUUAAUUUUCGUGACAUUUAAAGUUUUCUUGCUAGCUUCCUCAUCGAAAUGAAGCUCUCUAUCGUCACACCUUCCCUGUCGGCUCGUUGUUGCGUGUUAUUUAUUUAAUUUUACGAGCUCGUUAAGAUUCCAUUAGCACACCCAGAGGUUGGUACACAUUUCUAAUCAGACCUGACACUAAUUUUGCUUAUCGAUAUUCAUCGAUUAAUUGCUCCUGCUCCAUGAGACGCCGGACGUAACCUAUCGCAACGUGCACCAUUGCUUCGUUCAACCUGUUGCCGCAACUAAUUUCCAACUACACACCAAGCCUAACUGCGACAACCUGCGCGGAUAACCCUACGUGAACCUCCCCGAGGGAGCAUCGGCAACGGGUACAAGACAUCGUCAUCACUCUAGCACCAGCAUACGCGUAUCCUCGCACGCCAUUAAGCUCACGGGAUCAAUGAUCGAAAGCUCUGCACUGCUCAUGUCAAACGGUGUUAUCGGGUGCAAUCUCUCCACACCACACACCAGAGACACACGGUGUUCCAAACACUUUGUACGUCGAAUGAUGGUCUAAAGAUGAUUAGCUGGCCCCCUAGAGACGUACGAUUGGUUCUACGCCAGAGACUACGCAGACUAGCAGCCCGAACAGGUUGCAAACUCAUUCUGCAAGCGAAGCCCAACACUAGUGACUACUAACAUCAGAUCGCCCGAUAAGAUGCUGAACCGAGCCCGACGAUACAAAGAUCAAUAUUUAUAUGUUAAUUAAUGUUAGAUAACCAGCAACAUGGGGAGAAGCAGGUGUGUAUGUGCGUGUGUGUGAGACGAGUUGAAGGGGACAAGGCUUCUGCAGUUCGACCCCGUAAUGCCCCACAAACUAGUCUGGCUGAGUCUGAGCCUCUUCGCACCGCAGGAUGCUGCUUCGUUCCAGACUGUAUUAAAAAUGAUCAAAGCUGCCUCGCUGUUAAAAAACCGGACAAGGGGAAAAAAGCUACAGGACCAUUGGACACCCUUAGUUGUUCGGUAAAGGUUUAUCACCACCACCACCACCGGACAGUGAUAAUAAUUUAUUUCCAGUGAAAAACUGCUCCCGAUUUUGCAACCCAUCCCGGCCUCACGUGUUUAUGGAACACGGCAUACGGUAUACUGUGUGGAACAAGUUCCACUUCCUCUACCAGUGGACCAGCUAUAGCGCUCGAGUAAGUGCUCGAGACCCGGCGAAUGAGUGCCAGUGUGCAAUGGUACGCAUAUAAUCUGCUUAUCGAUGUGCUUUAAUCUCAGUCACCCGACACGUCUGGUGUUGGGCGGCAGUUUCGGACGGGGUAUAGCAGAAAUGCAAAUGUGCAGGAAGUUUAAGUGCGGGCAAUUCUCGCGCUGAGCUCACUGUACUGAUGGAUACUGGACCCGUAGCAGGACUUUCUUGUAAGGACGUAUUCCAACUUCAAGCGCACCAGAGUUCUUUCAACCAAUUCCAUCUGGGGCUGCCGUCCGUUUCAACACUCCUUCUGGUCGGAGCAGAAUCAAUCCAGGACGUCUGGCCAACCCGAUAACUUCCAAUGGCACUAAUAAUAGGGCACUCAUGCACAAGACCUAGCGCAAGACCUGCCGACCGGCAAGCGCUACCGUGAAUAGCGAAAGCGGCUCGCGACAUGCCGCUGUCAGGUUCGGAUGAAAAGUGUAGCAAAUUUUUCACCUUAAUGGACGCUGUAAUUAAAUCAUGCACUGGUGCCAUCUUCAAUUGCCCUGCGCUUGGAUGCCACUGAGAGCUCGAUCCCGUUCCACACUUCGAUUUACGAUCAACUGGAACAGCAAGAGUUUUAGUUUUUUUUUCACGUUGGUAUCCCCAGGCUUUAUGGUAAGGUGAUAAAAUAUGCACCAUUUAGCACGGUGUGUGUGUAAGUGUGUUCAUGACACAAGACACCGCCGGCGAAGAUGGAAAAAGCAUUUAAGCAAAGAAUUCUUCGACCGUAGCACGAAACGUAUCGCAGUCAAUCGGUGGCACUGUCAUUAAAAUAAAUCAGUUGCAGAAAUGAUCUUUAAGGCCACGGUCACUACGAUCUGUAAAUCAUCCGUCCUGCAGGGCAGUGCGAAUGGUUUGUGCGCGUGGAAUUUAUGUAGCUCCCGGUUUGACCGAGUGUUCGUCUAAUGAAGUACCUAAUGGUAGAUAAACAGGAUGCUUUUAAUUUAUUGCACACCAGACCCUUCCCAACACGCUCCAUUUAAAUGAUCUGUUUGGUAAAUUACUAACCGGGAUGGUAACAGGUGCCCGGGCUCGUUAAUUUAUGCACCAGAAUUAUAGAGCUUUUCGAACAUGAUCCAUUUUCUUGCUUUAAAGGGUUGUAGUAACGAUGCUAUGCAAGUAAAAUGUUGUUUUAAAGAAGUUGUGCAGGUUUUACUAAUAUUCACUCGUUUUCUGUUUCCAGCCAACAAACUGACAUUUCAGCCUGUCAGUGGAACAAUAUACAACAUCCGGGUUGUAUACAUUUGACAAUUACGUUCUGCCAAAUUGAAUUUCACCAUUGUUUAUUUUUUGUUUUUUUAUUUGAAAUGAGUCAUACUAAUACUUUUAAUAAAUUUAAUAAUAUCCAUCCAAACAAUUUUUAACCUUUCUUACUAACAUAGCCAUGCUUCUUAAAAAAAUGUUAUCCUUUAAUUUAUCAGGCUUAAAUUCUAUGGCUAGAUUUGCUGUAUUGUAUGGAUUGUUGAUAUGAUUUCAGCCGCCAAGUAAUAAACUACUUAUAAUAAAGCGGGCUAGCAUCGUAAAACCAUCCAUUCAUAGAUUUUUUGACCUCAGCUUUAAGCACACUGUUAAAAUUUUACUCACAUAUAUAAAGUAAAACCUUUCCAUUUUUAGCAUGAUAUGUAUGUCUCAAUUUCAACGGUAACGGACUACCGCAUACGAAUUUUGUUUCAAAGCUCGUUUCCUAUUUUUGCACGAUCAUCAAUCUAAUUGAAUCGUAAAUAAACAAGCACACAUUUGAUUCACAACAAAAACACGCUUUAGUCAUGUGUGCCUACCGCUGAAACAACUCAUUCCGUAGCGAUUCUUCCAGUUGGUGUGAAGUAACUUCGCUAGCAAAGCAUUACAGUUCUUACACGACUAGCAGCUGUAGAUAGAGAAAGUCUUUGAUUGAUCAAAAGUUUUAUCACAUUGAUAACCUCAACGUUUUGUCCAUGACCUCAAUUUACGACACAUAGUGCUAAAGACAUGUCCAUCAUGCUCGCCACCAGUUCAGAGGGCAUGUCAAAUCAAUAACUUCGCCACCGGCAACGCCCAACACCGGAAAAGAAAAACAUCUGCGACCGACUUCCAUGUGGUUGCAAAAAUGCAAACAAUGCAAUGUUUCAGUGCACCCCAGUUUGACCACCGAACGCCGAUGGUCUGCAAAGGAAGUGUGCGUUUUCGUCAACCCUCGGGCCGGCUUGUUUGAUCCGCCUCUAUGUGCCAAGUGGCGGGAUUUACAAUAAAGCGGCGAUGCAUUCAUUCCCGUGCAAUCCUAUCGUGUGAUCUGCAGCGACCGAUAUUUCGAAAGGUGUUAAGCUGUGUAACGUAUGCAACGUAAUCGUUUGCAGACAUGUACGUAAAAAAAGUACACCGCAGGAUCUACCUUCCGAUGACAGCCGGAUAAAGUUACGGGCCAAGUUCCAAUCAACGCAAGCUGAUGGAUGCCCAAAUGGCAGUGAUGGAGCAGACAGGAGAUGCCGCUACACCUCCUCGGUGAAAGUUUGGUUAUAUAGUGAACUGUUAUUGCAGGCAAAGAUAUGAGUAAUGAAAAGACAAAAUUGUGUUAAAUCUAUGAAAAAACCGACAAUUUAAUUGAAAUUAAUACUUUACUUCUAAUUUCAGAGCUACUGCGUGUGAAGCAUUUCAUUUGUUUUAUUUUUGAUUAUCAUUUGCUUGUUUUCUGAUUUUAAAUUAUGUCCCUUUUAAUAUUUCAUAAUGUAUACCAUCUUGA